UUUCCGUAGGUGAACCUGCGGAAGGAUCAUUAACGAGUAAAUUGAACAGGUUGUAGCUGGCCUUUAGGGGCAUGUGCACGCCUGGCUCAUCCACUCUUCAACCUCUGUGCACUUGUUGUAGGUCGGUGGAAAGGCUUUUUGACAGGGGGCUUCUGACUUCGGUUAGGACUCUUUGUUUGAAGGCUUGGAAGCCUUCCUAUGUAUUUUACAAACGCUUCAGUUUAAGAAUGUAAUCUCUGCGUAUAACGCAUUUAUAUACAACUUUCAGCAACGGAUCUCUUGGCUCUCGCAUCGAUGAAGAACGCAGC
rnacentral:misc_RNA from 1 species